rnacentral:rRNA from 1 species
UACGUAGGCAGCAGGCGUUGUUCGGAGUUACUGGGCGUAAAGAGUGCGUAGGUGGUGCCCUAAGUCUGUUGUGAAAUCUCCCGGCUUAACUGGGAGGGUGCGGUGGAAACUGGGGUGCUUGAGUGUGGGAGAGGUAAGCGGAAUUCCUGGUGUAGCGGUGAAAUGCGUAGAUAUCAGGAGGAACACCGGUGGUGUAGACGGCUUACUGGACCACGACUGACACUGAGGCACGAAAGCGUGGGUAGCAAACAGG